UAAUUCAGCUGUUGAAAAAUUCAACGCUAUUUUGUGUGAUACAGCACUUUUAUCCACUAAAUUUGUUCAAAAGAAAAUCAUGAAUAGGCCUAUUAAGAAAAAUAAAAAACCAUGGUUCUCAGACUCUUGUCAUGACCUCCAUACUACAGUUAAAAAGUACUGUUUACUUGUAAAUAAGUUUCCAGACAAUGGAUCCUAUAGAAAAUCAUUUUACUCAUUCAAAUCUAAAUUAAGA
rnacentral:lncRNA from 1 species